AGCAAUGGGCUUAGCCUGGCAAAGCCAUGGCCAGCCACGAUAGCACCUAGGCCCUUGGUUGGGGGAAAUGGGGGACCCUAUCGGAGAUGCUUUCAUAUGUAUCCAUGUAAAACGAGAUCAUGGAAAGGUAAUGGGAUGGAAGCUGUGUGUUGUGUGCUGAGUCGGGUGGGGCUUCUGACAGCAGGAAGGAACUUAGGUCUGAACAUCUGGAGAAGGGCCAUUGUGUUCAGCAGAACAGCCUGGGUCUUGCCUGUAGCUUCUCAGCCCUGUUUAUAAUUUACUAUG